rnacentral:rRNA from 1 species
CCUUCGGGAGGGGAUUAGUGGCGAACGGGUGAGUAACACGUGGGCAAUCUGCCCUGCACUCUGGGACAAGCCCUGGAAACGGGGUCUAAUACCGGAUACGACACUCUCGGGCAUCCGAUGAGUGUGGAAAGCUCCGGCGGUGCAGGAUGAGCCCGCGGCCUAUCAGCUUGUUGGUGAGGUAAUGGCUCACCAAGGCGACGACGGGUAGCCGGCCUGAGAGGGCGACCGGCCACACUGGGACUGAGACACGGCCCAGACUCCUACGGGAGGCAGCAGUGGGGAAUAUUGCACAAUGGGCGAAAGCCUGAUGCAGCGACGCCGCGUGAGGGAUGACGGCCUUCGGGUUGUAAACCUCUUUCAGCAGGGAAGAAGCGAAAGUGACGGUACCUGCAGAAGAAGCGCCGGCUAACUACGUGCCAGCAGCCGCGGUAAUACGUAGGGCGCAAGCGUUGUCCGGAAUUAUUGGGCGUAAAGAGCUCGUAGGCGGCUUGUCGCGUCGGUUGUGAAAGCCCGGGGCUUAACCCCGGGUCUGCAGUCGAUACGGGCAGGCUAGAGUUCGGUAGGGGAGAUCGGAAUUCCUGGUGUAGCGGUGAAAUGCGCAGAUAUCAGGAGGAACACCGGUGGCGAAGGCGGAUCUCUGGGCCGAUACUGACGCUGAGGAGCGAAAGCGUGGGGAGCGAACAGGAUUA